rnacentral:rRNA from 1 species
CAGCCGCCGCGGGAAUACGUAGGGUGCGAGCGUUAAUCGGAAUUACUGGGCGUAAAGCGUGCGCGGGCGGCUUUGUAAGACAGGCGUGAAAUCCCCGGGCUCAACCUGGGAAUGGCGCUUGUGACUGCAAAACUAGAGUGCGGCAGAGGGGGAUGGAAUUCCGCGUGUAGCAGUGAAAUGCGUAGAUAUGCGGAGGAACACCGAUGGCGAAGGCAAUCCCCUGGGCCUGCACUGACGCUCAUGCACGAAAGCGUGGGGAGCAAACAGGAUUAGAUACCCCGGUAGUCCCUGUCUCUUAUAC